CGGUGAACCAGCGGAGGGAUCAUUA
rnacentral:rRNA from 1 species